AGAGUUUGAUCCUGGCUCAGAUUGAACGCUGGCGGCAUGCCUAACACAUGCAAGUCGAACGGCAGCAUAGUCUAGCUUGCUAGACUGAUGGCGAGUGGCGAACGGGUGAGUAACGCGUGGGGAUCUACCCUAAAGUAGGGGACAACUCGAGGAAACUCGAGCUAAUACCGUAUAAGCUCUUAGGAGUAAAGCUGGGGACCGUAAGGCCUGGCGCUUUAGGAUGAACCUGCGUCCGAUUAGCUAGUUGGUAGGGUAAAGGCCUACCAAGGUGACGAUCGGUAGCUGUUCUGAGAGGAAGAUCAGCCACACUGGGACUGAGACACGGCCCAGACUCCUACGGGAGGCAGCAGUGGGGAAUAUUGGACAAUGGGGGAAACCCUGAUCCAGCAAUGCCGCGUGUGUGAAGAAGGCCUGCGGGUUGUAAAGCACUUUCAGUAGGGAGGAAUAGCACAGGUCGAAUAAACCUGUUGCUUAGACGUUACCUACAGAAGAAGCACCGGCUAACUCUGUGCCAGCAGCCGCGGUAAUACAGAGGGUGCGAGCGUUAAUCGGAAUUACUGGGCGUAAAGAGUACGUAGGUGGAGUAUCAAGUUGACUGUGAAAUUUCUGGGCUUAACCUAGACAGGUCAGCCAAUACUGAUAAUCUAGAGUGCGGUAGAGGGUAGUGGAAUUUCCGGUGUAGCGGUGAAAUGCGUAGAU
rnacentral:rRNA from 1 species